GUCCCCUUAGUUCAGUUGGAUAGAACAACUGCCUUCUAAGCAGUAGGUCACUGGUUCGAGUCCAGUAGGGGAUA
rfam:Klebsiella phage K64-1 DNA, complete genome.